rnacentral:rRNA from 1 species
UACAGAGGGUGCAAGCGUUGUUCGGAAUUACUGGGCGUAAAGCGCGUGUAGGCUGUUUUGUAAGUCAGACGUGAAAUCCCUGGGCUUAACCCAGGAACUGCGUUUGAAACUGCAUGACUCGAGUGUCGGAGGGGAUGGCGGAAUUCCCGGUGUAGAGGUGAAAUUCGUAGAGAUCGGGAGGAACACCUGUGGCGAAGGCGGCCAUCUGGAAGACAACUGACGCUGAGACGCGAAAGCGUGGGGAGCAAACAGG